UACGUAGGGUGCGAGCGUUAAUCGGAAUUACUGGGCGUAAAGCGUGCGCAGGCGGUUCGUCGUGUCCGAUGUGAAAGCCCCGGGCUCAACCUGGGAAUGGCAUUGGAAACUGGCGAGCUUGAGUGUGGCAGAGGGGGGUGGAAUUCCACGUGUAGCAGUGAAAUGCGUAGAUAUCAGGAGGAACACCUGUGGCGAAAGCGGCUCACUGGACCAUAACUGAC
rnacentral:rRNA from 1 species